GGUGAGAUGGCCGAGCGGUCUAAGGCGCCAGACUAAGGACCAGGGCAGAUUGUGUCCACUUAUUCUCUUCCGUUAGGAUUGGAAAUCUGGUCCUCCGGGGCGUGGGUUCGAAUCCCACUCUCAUCA